rnacentral:piRNA from 1 species
UACAUAUGGGGCCCAUCACAUUCCCACUGA